UAGCCGCGGUAAUACCAGCACCCCCGAGUGGUCGGGACGAUUAUUGGGCCUAAAGCAUCCGUAGCCGGCCCCAGUAAGUCCUCCCGUUAAAAUCCAACGGCUCAACCGUUGGGGCUGCGGGGGGAUACUGCUGGGGCUAGGGGGCGGGAGAGGCGAGGGGUAUUCCCGGGGUAGGGGUAAAAUCCACUGAUCCCGGGAGGACCACCAGUGGCGAAGGC
rnacentral:rRNA from 1 species